GGAUGUGGCUCAAGCGGGUAGCGCGCUUGCCUGGCAUGUGCGAGGCGCUGGGUUCGAUCCUCAGCACCA
rnacentral:tRNA from 1 species